rnacentral:rRNA from 1 species
GUCCGCACUGUAAACGAUGAUCACUCGUUGUUGGCGAUAUACAGUCAGCGACUAAGCGAAAGCAUUAAGUGAUCCACCUGGGGAGUACGACCGCAAGGUUGAAACUCAAAGGAAUUGACGGGGGCCCCGCACAAGCGGAGGAGCAUGUGGUUUAAUUCGAUGGUACGCGAGGAACCUUACCUGGGCUUGAAAGACAGAUGACCGUCUCUGAAAGGAGAUUUUCGCAAGACAUCUGUCUAGGUGCUGCAUGGCUGUCGU